UACGUAGGGUGCGAGCGUUGUCCGGAAUUAUUGGGCGUAAAGAGCUUGUAGGCGGUUUGUCGCGUCUGCUGUGAAAAUCCGGAGCUCAACCCCGGACUUGCAGUGGGUACGGGCAGACUAGAGUGUGGUAGGGGAGACUGGAAUUCCUGGUGUAGCGGUGGAAUGCGCAGAUAUCAGGAGGAACACCGAUGGCGAAGGCAGGUCUCUGGGCCACUACUGACGCUGAGAAGCGAAAGCGUGGGGAGCGAACAGG
rnacentral:rRNA from 1 species